rnacentral:misc_RNA from 1 species
GAGUUCUGGCGGUUCUGGUGGUUCUGGCGGCACCGUCGACCCGGUCGGACGGGAGAGUUGGAACAGCCAGCAGUCUCCUGCCGCGCGUCGGGAUGAACGGUCGCGUCGUCAGAGCACAGCCUCGCCGAGAUGUUAAUGGAGCCAGACGUACCUCGUAGGUGUCACUGAUCCGUCGGUUGUGGGAAUGAUAAAUUAUCGCGGCGAUUAGCGCCGGCCUGGAGUUGAUGAUCGGGCGACUGUGCCUCGCGAAUCAUGAGAAUACCCUCGUCGAGGAGAUUUGCCGAAUCGCCCGCGGUGAGAAGGGCCGACGAGGACGAAUGACAACUUUGAACCACCCUGGUUUUUGGAAGGCUUAGAGGAGAGGGAACUCGCCCCGAGAUCACGGGAUUAAUGCUGUCGACUUCGAAUCUUCGGAGUACAGGGAAAGUUGGCAAGGAUUUCGAGUCUUGAUUCGGGUAUCCGUUAUCUACGGAUAACAUUCGCUGCUGAGAGAAAAUGUUCGGUUUUGUGGCAUACGGAUCGUUAUUUCUAUUACUCGGUCAUACCGGGCUUCUUUGCUUUCGCGAUCUGCAGCAGCGACUCUGGCAUUGACGCGGAACGUAUUUUCUAAUCCGAAGUGAACUACUCGGGCCGGAUUCGAAGCUUAGGAUAGUGCGAUUCUUAACCAAUUUCCUUUUUCAAAGUUAUGUUUCGAUUUGCUCUCAUCAACGGAAGACAAUCGAGCACCGGCUGACACGGUGCGCGACUAGUGGUCGAAAUGCGGGAAAUUGUGAUGAAAAUGAUGCUUUUUUGGGUGAUCAGGAUAUUGGUUAGCUACAACACGGCCGUGUGCUUCGCGUUGUUCGUCGGCGAGGCCGCCGCGGAGCCUCUUAGAUAUGCUGCGCCGGAGGACUGUGCAUGGCACUCGCAUAAUUCGGAGGACGAAGUUUCGCUGACCUGUUCGCUUCGCUCGAUAAACAGUGAGUUUGACACGACGAACUUUAGCCUGAUACCGAGCGAACAUACCGCCGUGCUGAAAAUAGAAUGCGACACCAGUAUUCAGACGAAAAGCUCACUUAGCGAGGACAGCUUUGCCCACCUUCACAAACUCCGCGAGCUUCACUUGGACGGAUGCAAACUUGCCAACUGGCCCGCGGGCGCUCUUAACGGUCUGAGAAAUUUGCGGAACCUCGCCAUCAGGACGCGGAACAACGAUUAUCCUGCCUUUAGCUUGGAACUAUUCCCGGACGCGUUCGCCGUCACGCCUCAUAUAGAAAAAUUGGACCUAGCCUCAAACAACAUAUGGUCCUUUCCGGACCGUCUGUUUUGCCCCCUGUCGGCGUUGGUAUAUUUGAAUGUGUCUGGCAACAGAUUACAGGAUGUCACGGAGCUCAAUUUUCGGGAGACCAGCGAACCCCAGCCGCAAUCAUUGGUCGCCGACUCCGAGGAACCGCCGACGAGUUCGACCUCGUGUUCCCUGGACAUUCAAAUCCUUGACGUUUCCUCGAACCACCUCAUCGUGCUUCCUUCGAAAGGAUUUUCCACUCUGAGACGGUUGAAGGAAUUGCGCCUCGCGAGGAACGAGAUCAAUAUGGUCGACGACAAGGCGCUAUUCGGUCUUCGGAGCCUUGAGAUAUUUGAUCUGUCAGACAACAGGGUUGUCGCCCUGCCCGCCGAGUUGUUCAGAGACACGGCCAACACUAUCAAGGAAAUCCACUUGCAGAAUAAUUCACUGAGUGUUCUCGCGCCCGGUUUGUUUGCCGACUUAAAACAGCUCGUCGCGUUAUACUUGUCCAGGAAUUCACUGACCAGUGCUUGGUUCAGCUCGACCACGUUUUCGGGUCUGAUUAGAUUGGUUCUGCUGGAUUUGUCGAGGAACAAAAUAGCCACGCUGGACCCGGCGCUCUUCAAGGAUCUGUACACCGUCCAGAUUUUGAAUUUGCAAAAUAACAAGCUCGAAACCAUACCUGCGGACACGUUUUCGCCGAUGAGUAACCUGCACACUCUCGUGCUGAAAAAUAAUCGCCUAACUUACCUGGAUGCCUACUCAUUGAACGGACUAUUCGCGCUGUCUUUGCUGGCUCUUGACUCGAAUCACAUCGAAGGGAUACAUCCGGACGCAUUUCGAAACUGUUCCAGUCUCCGCGACCUAAAUUUGUCGGGUAAUAACUUGGACAGCAUACCGGCAGCUCUGAAGGACAUGCGGAUGCUGCGAACGAUAGAUCUGGGCGAAAAUCAGAUAAAGAGACUGGUUGAUCCGGGGUUUAAGGGUAUGUCUAGUUUGUACGGAUUGAGAUUAAUUGGAAACGAAAUAGCGAACGUCACGAAAGCAGCUUUCGCCGAGAUGCCGGCCUUGCAAAUAUUGAACCUCGCUAGGAAUAAAAUCGAGAGAGUGGAGAGCGGUGCUUUCGGGGAGAGUCCAGCGCUUCAGGCUGUUCGUCUAGACGCGAACUUCAUUCGGGACAUGAGCGGUAUAUUCAUGAACGCUCCGGGUCUGCUGUGGCUGAACAUGUCCGACAACGCAAUCGAGCACUUCGAUUACACCCUGCUUCCGCGGGAGUUGCAGUGGCUCGACAUGCACAAGAACAAAAUUUCCGACCUGGGCGUCGCCCCGCCGGGACUCCGGAUCCAAACCCUGGACGCAUCCUUUAAUCGAAUAACCAAGAUUCCGGCCAAUUCUUUGCCCGAAUCCAUAGAGCUACUCUUCCUCAAUGACAAUCUCAUCCACAGUGUCGAACCGCACACGUUCGUGGCUAAGGUGAACCUCACCAGGGUCGAUUUGUAUGCAAACCAGAUCGUGAGCAUGGAACUGUCGGCGCUGCAACUCGCCCCGGUGCCACCCGAUAGAGCUUUGCCAGAGUUUUACGUCGGCGGAAAUCCUUUCCAGUGUGACUGCACCAUGGAGUGGCUGCAGAGGAUAAACGCGUUAACUUUACGCCAGCAUCCGAAAGUUAUGGAUUUGGCAUCGGUGUACUGCCGGCUUCCUUACGAUAGGCGAAAGUCGUUCGCACCGCUUCUCGAAGCAUCGCCGUCUCAGUUUCUCUGCACCUACAAAACGCACUGUUUCGCUCUCUGCCACUGCUGUGACUUCGACGCCUGCGACUGCGAGAUGACUUGUCCUACGAAUUGUACCUGCUACCACGACCAAUCGUGGUCGGCGAACGUCGUCGACUGUUCGCGGUCCGGCUACACCAACUUGCCAGGACGUCUGCCCAUGGACGCUACCGAGGUCUACUUGGACGGCAACGAGUUCGGAGAGCUGACGUCGCACGCCUUCAUUGGACGAAAAAACUUGCAGGUUCUCUACGCCAAUAACAGCAACAUCGUGUCCAUUCACAAUCACACGUUCAGCGGACUGAAGCGGCUGGUUGUGCUUCAUCUUGAGAAUAACAAGAUAAUCACGCUGAGAGGAUUGGAGCUGGCCGCUCUGGCCGGCCUCAAGGAACUGUACUUACAAAACAACCUCCUGGUUCAUAUCGAUAACGGGACUUUCCUCCCGCUGAGAGAACUGGAGGUUCUGCGGCUGGAGAACAAUCGGCUAACGACAUUCGCAGUCUGGCAGCUAGCCCAGAACCCUUACCUGGUGGACAUCGGGCUCGUUAAUAAUCCCUGGAGCUGCGAGUGCGGGUAUUUAGGCCGCUUCAGGGAAUGGGUCUCCGUUCAUAAGGCCAAGAUUACCGAUCUAGCCCGCGUCUCUUGCGCGCUGGGGUCGCCCCUUGGUAUUCACGGAAACUCUUCGGUGAUAAAUUGCGCCGCGUUGUCCGGCGCUACUCCCGCCAUUGAGACACGCCCUCUCGAGGGCUACCUUCCUCUUCUGCUGGCGUCCGCGGCGUUAUUCUUCGCGCUGAUCGGACUCGUCUGCGGAGCCCUGAGACACAGGCAGACCCUCAGAGCCUGGGCUGCGGGCAGAUGCGGCCUGAGAGCCUGCUACAAGACCGCCGCCUUCGAGGAGAGCGACAGACCCUUUGACGCGUACAUCUCGUACUCGGCGAAGGACGAGGCGUUCGUAUCGAGGUCCCUUGCCCCCGGCCUCGAAAUGUCCUACAGACUCUGUCUCCACUACCGCGACCUCGGCUCAGGUUCGAGCGUCGCCGAUGCCGUAAACGAGGCGGCCGACUCCUCGCGACGAACCAUCCUCGUUCUGUCCAGAAACUUCAUCCAUGGCGAAUGGGCGAGAUUUGAGUUUAAAGCAGCGCUCAGAAGCAUCCUCAGGGACAAAGGACGCUCCGUUAUCUUUCUACUGGUUGGUGGUGUUAGUCCCCAGGAUCUCGAUUCGGAUUUGCGGAAGCGAAUUGCCUCCCACACGGUCGUCGCCUGGGGCGAGAAACUCUUCUGGCAAAAGCUCAGAUUCGCAAUGCCUGAUCCACCCGCCUCACUGGUUACCUUAGACAGGGGACUUCCUCCGCCGCCGCUCCCUCCGCCGCCGCAUCACCUGUGGGCGUAGCGGAUGUUUCAGUGCAGAUUUUAAUCCCGAUCUCGUCCACAACGAAAUAUAUAAGCAGACAACGCCCAAAACCUCGACUGAUUAUUAUUAUUAACAUUAUUAUUAUUAUUAUUAUUAUUAUUAUUAUUAUUAUUAUUAUUAUUAUUAUUAUCAUUAAUAUCAUAUAAUA